GACGAACGCUGGCGGCGUGCCUAAUACAUGCAAGUAGAACGCAGUUGCGAACGGGUGAGUAACGCGUAGGUAACUGCCUGGUAGCGGGGGAUAACUAUUGGAAACGAUAGCUAAUACCGCAUACUACAAGAUGGACCUGCGUUGUAUUAGCUAGUUGGUGGGGUAACGGCUCACCAAGGCAACGGUACAUAGCCGGCCUGGGAGGGGUAUCGGCCAAACUGGGACUGAGACACGGGCCCGACCUCUACGGGAGGGAGCAGUAGGGAAUCUUCGGAAAUGGAACGAAGUCUGACCGAGCAACGCCGCGGUAGUGAAGAAGGGUUUCGGAUUGUAAAGCUCUGUUGUAAGAGAAGCGGUAUCUUACCAGAAAGGGACGGCUAACUACGUGCCAGCAGCCGCGGUAAUUC
rnacentral:rRNA from 1 species